rnacentral:rRNA from 1 species
AUUGAACGCUGGCGGCAGGCUUAACACAUGCAAGUCGAGCGGUAACAGGGGAGCUUGCUCCUGCUGACGAGCGGCGGACGGGUGAGUAAGAUAUGGGGAUCUGCCUGAUGGAGGGGGAUAACUGCUGGAAACGGUAGCUAAUACCACAUAAUGUUUACGAACCAAAGGGUGGGACCUUCGGGCCACUCGCCAUCAGAUGAACCCAUAUGGGAUUAGCUAGUAGGUAGGGUAAAGGCCUACCUAGGCGACGAUCUCUAGCUGGUCUGAGAGGAUGACCAGCCACACUGGGACUGAGACACGGCCCAGACUCCUACGGGAGGCAGCAGUGGGGAAUAUUGGACAAUGGGGGUAACCCUGAUCCAGCCAUGCCGCGUGUGUGAAGAAGGCCUUAGGGUUGUAAAGCACUUUCAGUGAGGAGGAAGGGUGAUUUGUAAAUAGCAGAUUACAUUGACGUUACUCACAGAAGCAGCACCGGCUAACUCCGUGCCAGCCGCCGCCGUAAAAC